rnacentral:lncRNA from 1 species
AUGUUUUCAGGCAGUAUGCUCAUCAUGAGGCUUGUUUUGGGUAAUUUGCUUCUGUUUCUUGCUCUCGGGCCCUGCUUCAAGUCCACUGAUGCACAAGAAACAACAACAGAGACAGAUGAAAACACCACCAUCCCAUUACCAAAUAAUUACACUGUGGAGUCAACGUUAAGUUCUGAAAUCACCAGUGCCACACCUGAAAAUACAGUUACUCUACUACAGACAGAAGCGGAUCUGCAUAAUCCAGAAACCACACUUGUUAAUGAAAUAAACACCAUGCAUGAGGAACCAACAGGUGAGAGUACUCCACCACUGAGUAUUGAACAAACAUCACCAGAAUCUGUUCCUGAAACAACAACUGUACAAACGGAGCAGACCACAGUGACCACCCCUACUUUGCCUGUUAAUGUGGAAACAACAGUGAUUGAACAAAUAACUUCAGACGCCCCAAGCACAAGUCAGUAUGAAACAACUGUUGGCUUCACCUCUCCCGAGUCGACCAGCUCUACAGAACGUCCUACAGAUGAAAUCACCACAGCAGCGGUAGCCAUGACUACUGAUUCAACAGAAGCCCUCAAUCCCACAUCCAUCACGACCACACCACCUGCAGACUGGACUGAGUCUCCGUCCAUCAUGUCUGACCCUGUGGACACCAGCACUGAAACCUCCACUACAACUUCAACAACAUCAACAUCGACUACACAGCUCCCUCAAAAUACUGUUGAUUACCCAUACUCGAGGUCUGACGAAGAUUCAGCCUCCACCCAUUUCACCACCACAACAACCGGCGUGAUUAUUGGGGAAAAAAUUAUGUCCUUGAAAACCAGCUGGUUAUUAAUAAUAAUAGUGUUUGUGGCCAUUAUUUUUGCGCUGUGUGUGGGCAUGAUUCUGUUCACCCAGCGGCGAAAGAAAAACGCCUCAAGGAAUUUCAGCCCCAUGUAUAUGAAUGGACAAAGUAAACGGUCCAAAAAAAAAAAAGGGGCGGAGGAUGAUGCGUGGGCGGGGCCUGUCAAACUGGAGGCGGGGGUUGAAUGUGACGCUGAGGUACAGGAGGGUCUAAUGCUUAAUAAUGGGAAACAGGAUGGAGACGAUACGGUGCUAAGGACAUUCGCCGCUCUGGAUGCAGGAGAUACCUCUAAUGGUGGAGUGGGUGGGGACGGUACCAAGGAGGCUAAGAAAUGGGAGGAGCAGGAGCCUCUGCUUUACAUAGAUGAGGAUGUGAAUGAAGGCAAGACUGGAAAAACACUGGAAGAGAGUGAGAAACAGAAUGGAGAUGAAAAAAGUGAAGAGAAGGAGAUGAACGGAGGAGAAACGUUCUGUCUCACCACAGCGGUCUGA